UUUGACUCAUUUCCCACACCCACCAUUACUGUUAUCUCACUUUCCAGUUUCCUCCAUAGACGUUCUCUGCCACCCCCUCACACAUAUACCAAUAAGAUUAAUCUAAUUGAAUUACGUGAUGCUGGUAAUGCUAUGCUAGCUGUUGGUGUAUUAUUCUUACUUGGCUUGGCUUGGCUGCACUCGUUUUGGCAGAGAGGAUCGCACUCAUUUCACGCCGUACUUCAUCAUUGUACCAUUAUUUUAGUUUCGCAGAUUCCGUGGAGCUUCUGCCACACACACAUCGCAUAACCAGUGUUAGAUCUGUUCAAUUAUCGUAUGGAAUUUGUUGGUUUAGGGUUUAAUUAUUGUUUGUUUUUUGUCAUUUGCAUUUGGGUUCUUUUUAUAAUUCUCGUUUUUUAUGUGUAUAUUUUGCUUUUCUUCCAAGGAAAAUUUAUUUUGAUGCUCAUUAUUAUUGCUUUGACAGCAAUCACAAGGCCAUGAUAAGCAGGCGAGCUGUAAAGACUGCGGACAUAUUGGUAUGGAGGAAACCAGAAAAAUAUGGUUACCAUCACACUCCAUAUUAUUAUAAAUUAAAUUCAUGGUUCCAAAGGCAAGUUAGCGUUGAUGAUUGGUAGCUAGGCUAAGCUACAAUUCAACACCAAAAUUAAAAAUAGUAAGUCAAUUAUUCGUUAUUAUUCUCAUAAAAGCAACCCAUUUUUUU
rnacentral:lncRNA from 1 species